AUGAACGCUGGCGGCGUGCCUAAUCCAUGCAAGUCGAGCGAACAGACGAGGAGCUUGCUCCUCUGACGUUAGCGGCGGACGGGUGAGUAACACGUGGAUAACCUACCUAUAAGACUGGGAUAACUUCGGGAAACCGGAGCUAAUACCGGAUAAUAUAUUGAACCGCAUGGUUCAAUAGCGAAAGACGGUUUUGCUGUCACUUAUAGAUGGAUCCGCGCCGCAUUAGCUAGUUGGUAAGGUAACGGCUUACCAAGGCAACGAUGCGUAGCCGACCUGAGAGGGUGAUCGGCCACACUGGAACUGAGACACGGUCCAGACUCCUACGGGAGGCAGCAGUAGGGAAUCUUCCGCAAUGGGCGAAAGCCUGACGGAGCAACGCCGCGUGAGUGAUGAAGGUCUUCGGAUCGUAAAACUCUGUUAUUAGGGAAGAACAAAUGUGUAAGUAACUAUGCACGUCUUGACGGUGCCUAAUCAGAAAGCCACGGCUAACUACGUG
rnacentral:rRNA from 1 species